rnacentral:rRNA from 1 species
AUGAGCAGGCGAGUGGAUGAUACAGAGAGCUCCUCGAACGGGGAAGUAGCACUGUUGGAGGAACUCGAAGAUGAGAAGGUUCCGAAGUCAUGCCUUUGCCUUACUGUUGUGCUGAUACUAGAUGCAACAUUGUGGACCUCUGGUUCGAGCAUGGCCAGCAUGGCCACGGAUUGUAGGGGAGGAAUGUAUUGCCUAAUGAGUUGUAUGCUUUUCUUCAGAUCCUUUGUGCUCCCUAUCACAUCUGGCUUGGCCACCUACAGAUUCUUGGGUCCAGGUUCCUGA